UUAUAAAAAAGAGCGUAAGGACCUCCGAAUCGGAGGUUUACGAGGAGAGGGCCCUCCGAAUCGGAGGGAAUCGGAAACACCAAUCUAUGGUGUAUAUCUACGGAAACCCUCAAGUUGAACUGUCAACUUAAAUAUGUUUUUUAAACUCCUUCGGUAACGAAGGAAUCAAAGAAAACAUGGUACAGACUU
rnacentral:ncRNA from 2 species